rnacentral:rRNA from 1 species
GAUGAACGCUGGCGGCGUGCCUAACACAUGCAAGUCGAGCGAUUUACUUCGGUAAAGAGCGGCGGACGGGUGAGUAACGCGUGGGUAACCUGCCCUGUACACACGGAUAACAUACUGAAAGGUAUGCUAAUACGGGAUAACAUAAGAGAGUCGCAUGGCUUUCUUAUCAAAGCUUUUGCGGUACAGGAUGGACCCGCGUCUGAUUAGCUAGUUGGUAAGGUAACGGCUUACCAAGGCGACGAUCAGUAGCCGACCUGAGAGGGUGAUCGGCCACAUUGGAACUGAGACACGGUCCAAACUCCUACGGGAGGCAGCAGUGGGGAAUAUUGCACAAUGGGCGAAAGCCUGAUACAGCAACGCCGCGUGAGCGAUGAAGGCCUUCGGGUCGUAAAGCUCAGUCCUCAAGGAAGAUAAUGACGGUACUUGAGGAGGAAGCCCCGGCUAACUACGUGCCAGCCGCCGCGGUAA